rnacentral:lncRNA from 1 species
UACAGAGGAUGCAGGGACAUAGGGAAUUAGGGACACUGGGGAUGCCAAGAAUACAGGAACAUAGGGAUUUGGGGACAAUGGGGGUGCCAGGAGUACAGGGAUGCAGGGAUUUGGGGACAGGACAAUGCAGAGGACACAGAGAUGUGGGGAUUUGGGGACACUGGGAUUUGGGGAUAACGGGGGCACCAGGAAUAGAGGGACAUGGGGAUUUGGGGACAGGGGGAUUUGGGGACAAUGGGGGUGCCAUAAGUACAGGGACACCGGGAUUUGGGGACCCCUGGGGACAUGGAGAUGUUGGAGACGCUGGAAACACCCGGGCUCGAGGGACACCAGGGAUGUGGGGGAUGCUGGGGGAAACGCAGCACCCCAUUUCCACCCCUUCUGGCCCUGCCCCCAUCCCCAUCUCCCCUCUGCCUGCUGCUGUCCUCACCCACCCCCACCCCACCCCUGUGCCCCCCUCCCCAUCUCCUUCCCUCUGGUCCUGCCUCGUCCGUCCCCGUCCCCAUCUCCCUGCCCCGUUCUGGUCCCAGCCCCAUCCCGCUCCCUCCUCUGCCUCCCCCCACCCCCAUCUCCACCCCAUCUCCCCCUCCCCAACCCCUCCCCACCCCUUCCCGGCCCCUCCCCAGCCCCUCCCCGGCCCCCCGCCCCGCUCACCGCAGCCGCUGGAUGUUGGAGGAGACCCCCGACAGGCGGUAGAUGCCGUCCACCACCCCGUGCUGCUCCACGAACUCAGUGCAGCUCCUCAGCACCUGGGGCACUGCGGGACGGGCACCCCCGGGCCCGGCAUCAGCCCCCCACGGAGCCCCCCCAGACCCCUCCCAAGGCCCCGGGCCCUGUCCCCAUUGAGCGCAGGGGGUGACAGGAGGGAGCGGGUCCCCACCGCGGUGGUGUCCCCGCGGUGCCACCGGUCCCCAUGGCCAGAUUGGGACCACCGGGACCUGGGGACGAGGCCGCCGAGCCCCUGGGGCUCACCCCCUCCAAACCAGGGGGCGCAGCGGGGAGCUGAGAUUGGAUCGGGCAACGCCGGCCCUGGGCGGACCCCAAAAUCUCAGGGGGGGCCCUGUGCGGGAUGCGCCCCAGCUCCGCCGCUUGCUCAAGCCCCGGUGAUGCAACCGCAUGGCGAGCGUCACCGCCGUCCCCUCCCCGCUUCCGCUGGGGGGCACGGGGACGGGGCUGGGGGGCGACCCCUGGGGAUGGAGGAGAUGGAGGCCCCCCCAGCGCAGGACCCCCGCUCCCCACUCUUACCAUCCUGCCCCGACUGCUGGAGAUGCUCGAGGAGGUCGCAGCCGAACACCCGCUCCUUGGCGCCGCCCUUGCGCCUCGCCUUCUGCCGGGCCUUGAGCGCCAGCGACAUGGGGGCGGCGGGGACCCCCCCGGCGGGGUCAGAUCCUGCCCAUGGCGGGGCCCAGCCCCAGGAGGAGCCCCGAGCGGGGAGCGGGGCGCCCAAAGCCCCAGCGCGGCCGGGGGCAGGCGGCAGCGGGCGGAAGCGGCCCCGGGGAGGAAGUGCCGCGGCCCCGGGGCCCUGACGCAGCCUCGAGGGCCCGGGGCGCCCCGCUGGCGGGGGCAGGAAGGCGGCGGCCGCCUUCGAGGCCGCUUCCUGCUCCUCGGCGCCUCGAAACCGCAGGGCAGGGCGCGGGCCGCGCGUUUCCGCGCUCUGCCGGGGGCGCUGGCGCAGCCGCCCUCGCGCGGGGCCGUGCGCGUGGCCCUUGUGCGGCCCGGAGCGGGGCAGCGGGUGGCCGGGCACGCUCGGGCGGCCUCGCACACGGGGCCGUGCACUUGGGCGGCCUCAGCGGGCCUCGUGCAUCCUCGCACACGCUCGUGCAUGCUCUGCAGGCUCACACAUGCUCACACAUGCUCGUGCAUGCUCGUGCACUCAUGCACACUUGCUCACAGGCGGCCCUGUGCACUUCUGCAUGCUCACACACACCU